UCAUCUAUCGAGGUUGAUAGAUCCCAUCUUGGUGCGAUCUGGUUCCUACAAUGAAUAUGCUACAGCCAACAUACACCUCAGGGUUCCAAAUGGCUAGAAGAUCAAGUUAUGGUGUAAUCAAACUAUAACAUGCUCAAGGUAAACUGUCGAUGCACCUUAGGUCAAAGAACUAGACACACAACUACAGCAUCGAGCUAGUCAUCGAUGAGAAGGUAGACUUUCUUAUGACUGCU
rnacentral:lncRNA from 1 species